rnacentral:sRNA from 1 species
CUGACUGAUAUUCACCUGUUUCUGGUAUGUGAAUUAAAGGCUUUUGCCACCACAUCUGGCCUGAGACUUAAAUUUUUAAUAGUUUAGUUAACGUUAAGAAGUCUUGCAGACAAAAUGGAAGACUGUAGGACAGCCAGGAGACUGAAAAACCAUUUCUGACCCGUAGAGUCAGUCGGAAGUCUUUGUCCGUCUUAGUGAUAUCUGCAAAAUGUCCUGAAUUGCCCAAAGAACAGAAACCCGAACGUUAUGUCUGUGGUACUAGACCAGGACACUCACAUGACAGAGGACCACCCAAGUCCAGCUCCAAACAGCAGCGCCAGGGUUUGCUCCGAUUUGAUGAUUCAAACAAAUGGCCCAAUGGGAUAGGCCAUGAGAGUGAUUUCUCAUGGUAUUAACUGGUCAGGAAAACUAGUUAUUUAAUUUGGAAAAUGUUAGAAGCUGGAGCAUCGCAUAAAAAUAGCCAGACUAAGGCCUCUGGCUAAGAGGCAGAAAAACAAUUAACACGUGCCCCACUCUCAGAAUUCAUCGGGCGGGCUGCACGCUGGACUCUUGAAACGCUCUCUUUGGCUUCGUCCUACCGCUCCACACCGGGUAUAGGCUCCCCAUUAAGCAGCUUAGGAAAUCGGAUUGCUUGCGUAACUUGCUCCGGGAGUCGUUUAUAUUUUUAGCAAGUGUCUUUACACAAUCGCGGCAGGAAGCAUGCUCAAAGUUGGCAGCGGAGAGGCAAUUUCCGCGUCCUGUUUACCUGGGCGGUGAAGAGGUAGUGAGAGCUCUGAGUCUCUUCUGAGGGAGACAGAAGAGGGUCCAAUCCAUCACAGGCACUCACGUGGAGAGGUAGACAUUCCGCCCUCUCCCAAUCAUUGCCCGGGAGUUGGUUGCUCCAUCCAAGAGACCUGCGGGGGUUGGGGGUGGAUCCUGGUGCAUUCGUGGCACAAACAGGAUAACAGUUUGCGAACAUUUUACUGUCAGUAGUAAGAAACACCCCACCAGCGCAACUUUGGGCAAUCUCUUUCCUCAUCUUUAAUGAAACAUCUGUGUGGAAACAAUCAUUAGAAUGAAAAGGAAGACAUUGGCACCGAAGGGUAUGAUGGGAGGAGGGCGGAACACAAACUGCAAGCCAGGGAGAGACCGAGAGGCAUUGCUCUCCACGCACGACGAGGAAGUGGCGAGAACACGGAUCUGUUUGAAACUAGCCGCCAUCUGCAGGAGUUGACUUCUGGAUGAACUCGCUUUGGGUUAGAAGGUGGCAAAGUCCUGGAGAGCAGGGGUCCUCCCUGCUGUGCUCACAGGAGGGGACAGCAAUUGGUGGGAAGAAGAGAGCAGCAUCCUGUGGAAGAGCAGUAGACCCUGCCACUGAGAAACUGCAUAGGACCUUCCUCCACCCCCCCGCCCCCGCCCCCCGGAAGCGGCUGCUCUGUGGAUACACGACUCUUUUGUCGUCAGCUGCAGGACUAAGUCAGGACUGCACACAAAGAACAAUCUGGUGACAAAUGUGCAUCCGUUUGCUCUGCGACUACUUCCCUGGUGUGGACGCUUGUCGGUGUGCUGGAAGAACAGAUGUUAUCCAAAUUGUCUGCGGGGCCAGCCCGGCUCUGUUGGACAUGUGGUCUGAUGGAGAGAGAAGGGGCAGGCCUCUCACCUCACCGAAAGGACCUCAGGACCUAAGAUACAGAGGGAAAGCCUUUCAGGAUGGCGGAAGGAAGCCGGAGAAUGCUAAAUGCAUACAUUACAAAUCUGCAUCCUACCUGAGACCCAAACCUGAGCCACUGUGACAAACCACAUACCAAUCCAGACAUACUUAGCAUCCAGACAAAUUUGCCUCUAGUUUCUCCAAUUGCCACCUAAUUCUCUUUCUCAAUACCUCCCUUCCUCUUCUCCUCCUCUUAGCACCUUUUAAGACUGUAUUUAUACAUCCAUAAUAAAGUAGCUCAGAGGCCACCCCAUAGUGAAUGCCACCAUUUGGGGCCUUUACACUGGAAAUUUGGGAUAACUGGUCAGUGGCUGCAAGGUUGGCACAGCCGUCAUUGUGAGGAGGUCCAUGUGGCAGUAACUCCUUUAGGAUUCACCCCGCUUUCUCUGUGUGCUUAGACCAAGCUGAGACUCUGGAAUCUAUAACUGCGUUGCCUGUUGUCCCCAUCCCCACCCUUGUCAUCUAGAGACUGAAAACUUUGGCUGCUUCUUGGAGAGCCGGGGAGGGAGAGAAGUCAGAAGGCUUUGUUCUGCUUCUGGUUUAGGCCUUCCUUCUCUGUGAGAGAGAAGUCCUGCCAUUUUCUAUCUUAGUCAACUAAUCGACACGGACAAGUUAGGAGCUUCGUCGGCCCAUGGUCUCCUCUGAUGCUUAAAGUGCCUACCGAGGGCUUGUAUGUGGUCAGCAAGUAAAGACCUGUGACAAGUAGAGAUGCUGCGGUUGAUAGAAAAUUCCUCUGGGCUCCUCAUGUGCCACGGCAUCCCUGACCCUAUCAAGUACUGUGAUGGGAAAGCAUCUCCGGGUUCUGUGAUGAGGUCAAGGGCAUGGGAUAUGUCUCUAGUGGCCACGAAGGAAGCGAAAGCUACCAUCAGUGCUGGGGUUAAAGUAAGGUGUUCAAGCUUUGGAACAAACGCACCAGAUUUUGACUUUAUUGCAACUUGGACCCCAAUAAUCCAAAGUCAAAAAUAUCACCUAUCCUGCAGCCGUUGAACGCAUUAAAUAAGACAACACCAGAGGCAGGGUAUACGCAAUUCCUGGAGCCCCGUCAGUGUGUCGAUAGAUCUUAACCUUGACCCUGGCAAGAUGGAGAGCUGGUGUUUCCAAAUUAGAAAUGACAGUUAAAUACAUCUUUAGUUAAACCUAUUGCCGGUGACUGUGGAAGGGUUUGGGUCAGAAUGGCAGCCGAAUCUUCCUGGCCUGCAUAUGCAAAUCCGCUGGAAAGCAAGAGUGGGGGAGGGGUGGAACCCCACCAAACCUGGGCGUCUAGUGUCCACGAGCCCCGGCUUAAACACUAUGUGAAAAAAAUGGCGACGCCACCGCGUGGGAUGUUUGUGAGGGUAUUUCGAGAUAAUCGUGUGAAAAUACCUCUAGUCUAAGAGGUAAUUCUUCUUUGCUUUGCAUGAUCUGCAAAAUGUUUAAGGUCUUUAUUUACUAAGUUCAAAUAUUCUUAACCUGAAGUCUAAAAAGAGGGUGCUUCUGUGAUAAAUUACUGAAUGCUGUGUGUCUAUUAAACUAUUUUAUUCCUGGUAAUCUCCCCUCCUUCCUCACCCUCUGAUCCUUUCUUUCCUUGUCUCUGUUUCUCACACUCCUUUAAUUUACAUUUCGUUGCAGAAUCUGGAUGCAAGCCUGUGCGUGUAGUGCCAGGGUAGAAGGCCUUUUUAUUAUGGUCGGUUUCUAUAGGAAGGAAUAGAAUCCUAGCGAAAUGCACCCUACCCACUCUCUGAUAGAUACUCUUCCGCAGAUUUUUUUCUUAACAAAGGCUCUUUUGGUAUUCUAUGCAAAUUAUCUUGACUGUAAGGUGGAAACACAUUCAGCCGCCUCCUCAAGCAAAGACAUCUCUUCAGUGUCAGAUUCUUAAAAUUCCUUGAAUAAAAAUCCACUUCCCUCUA